CGUACGAUACGAGUUUGAUAUGGCUCAGAGUGAACGCUGGCGGCGUGCUUAACACAUGCAAGUCGCACGAGAAAAGGCUUCGGCCCUAGUAAAGUGGCGCACGGGUGAGUAACACGUGAAUAACGUCCCUCCGGGUGGGGAAUAACGUUCCGAAAGGAGCGCUAAUACCGCAUAAGACCACGUCACCGCGAGGCGAUGAGGCCAAAGCCGCAAGGCGCCUGGAGAUCGGUUCGCGUCCCAUUAGGUAGUUGGCGGGGUAAGAGCCCACCAAGCCUGAGAUGGGUAGCUGGUCUGAGAGGAUGAUCAGCCACAUUGGGACUGAGACACGGCCCAAACUCCUACGGGAGGCAGCAGUGGGGAAUCUUGCGCAAUGGGCGAAAGCCUGACGCAGCAACGCCGCGUGAGUGAUGAAGGCCCUCGGGUCGUAAAGCUCUGUCAGAAGGGAAGAAUAAAUGACGGUACCUUCAAAGGAAGCACCGGCUAACUCCGUG
rnacentral:rRNA from 1 species